UUUCAUCUGUGCUUGAGGGUGAUACAUCAUCAUGAUAUUGCUGCAGCGUCUAGUUCAUCUUCUGCUUUUAACAUCAGGAACAAACAGCCAUUACCAUUUGAUCUUAACUUUCCUCCUGUGGUUGACUAUUUAAAUAACGGUGAUGAUGAUUUUCAUGCGACAGCCUUAUGCCUUUGAUUUGAUUGUCUCCAUGAAUUGAUGAGGGAAGGAAAAAAAAAGAAAAAAGAAAAAUUAUCUUUUUUUUUUUUUUUGCGUUGUUGUUGUUGUAUUUGUUAGAUUAUAUGUGGGUUAACGAUAAAUUAGUGUUCAUGAUGAUGAUGAUAAAUAUAAGUUGAUCUUCUUCUUCAUCCUUAUGUGGAUGGGUUGAUUAUGAUGAAUCUUCAACUAUUUUCAUGGAUAUUAGAAAUUCUGAUCUCUUUGCAAUUUGUUGAAGUCAAAAUCUGAUAUGAGGAUUCUUUUAUUUUGAAACCUCUUAAUCUUGAUCUGAUUAAUGUUGUCAAGUUUAAUUAAUUUAGCAAACAAAAUUAUUUUCCUUCUUGGUGUACAAAAAUAUCAUCUAAUUUAAUGAAAUUGCGAGGCAGAGGAUGAUGAAAGAGAUGUAAAAACAUCUAAUAACCUCUGCUUACUCAUAUUCAUUUGUGUAUGUUUUGGUUUUGAAGUUUCAGUCUUCUUUUUAUUUUGAUGAAUGCAAAAUGAGAAAGAACAGAAAAAAAAUGGUGUAUUGAUAAUUUUGGUAUGUGGUUAUCACCUCUGAUGAAAAUAAUAUUAAUGUCAUGGUCUGUGAAUGUGGGCAUAAAUUAUAUCAGGCCAAUCCUAUUGAUAUUGAGUAGCUGAUAUGGGUCUUUAGCAGAUGAUUGAAUGAUGAAUAUAGCAGAUGAUUUUGGAAGAAAUUCAGCCAACUAUGAAGAAGAUGAAUAUAGCAGAUGAUGUUUGGUUUGAAGUCUGUCUUCUUCUUCAAAUUCAAGUGUGUUUCCAAGGAAGAGGAAUGGUGAUGAUGGGUGACCAAGGUAAAAGAAAAGAAGAAUAUAUGCCCUGAAGAGAGAGAAGAAGAGAGCAUAUGGUGGUGUCAGUCUCAGGCAGUGAGUCUGUCAGUUCUAGGGUUAGUCAGCAUAGCAAUGAAACCGGUUAAGAUGGAGAUAAGAGAUGAGAUAGGGUUCUUGAUAAGAAUGGUAGUAGUAGUAUUUAUUGUAGAGGAGAUGAUGAGAUGAGAGAGCUAGCUAAGCACAUGCAUGUGAUGUAAUAACUUAUUCCUUCCUCCUUGCAUAAUAAUGUAUUUUGCGUAUUAUUCAUUCAAUAUGUAUUCAGACGCAUUAUUUGUUACAAUUUUUUUUUCCCUUUUUAGAAAGAAACAACAUGAUUCACCAUCAA